UACGUAGGUGGCAAGCGUUGUCCGGAUUUACUGGGCGUAAAGAGCGCGCAGGCGGUCGUUCAAGUCGCGUGUGAAAGCCCCCGGCUCAACUGGGGAGGGUCACGCGAUACUGAUCGACUCGAAGGCAGGAGAGGGUAAGUGGAAUUCCCGGUGUAGUGGUGAAAUGCGUAGAUAUCGGGAGGAACACCAGUGGCGAAGGCGACUACCUGGCCUGUUCUUGACGCUGAGGCGCGAAAGCUAGGGGAGCAACGGGGAUU
rnacentral:rRNA from 1 species